rnacentral:lncRNA from 1 species
GCCCUACUGUGUUACAGUAGUAGCAGUAACAAAACCAUGAUGGUCUAAGGAUAUAAGCAAGUCAGAGGUGGUAGAAAAUGAUCCCAGUAAUUUGGUGUUCAGUGAGCAGGGCACAUUCUGCAUUGUUUUUCCACCACCGUGUCAUUCUGAGCAAAAAUGCUUCAGGGGAACACCACUGAACAGUUCUCUACAGAGACAGGACAAUACAGCAAAGGCAUGCACCACAUAUAUGGGAUCAGCAGACUGGGGUCAGAUCCAUGGGCUGUUCCAGAAAAUCUGGAUGCAAAAAGAAGAGUGGUAGGUAAAGCAAGUAUUCAUUUUAAAAGUUUAUUUAGAAGUAUUCUCAGAAACUUGCUUGAGUCUGUUCAUUUGCCAUUUUACAAAAAGAUGCCAGAGGGAAAAUUAGUGGAAGACAAUGUUCUAUGCAGAAAAGUACCCUCGUUUAGCUGUCAUAAGCUAUGCUGAACACCUAAGAUUAAAGAAAGCAUCAAAUCCACCAGCAGCUCUUCUUUUAUUUCUUUCUCCUUCUGCUAUAAAUUAAGUGGUGGGGUUUGCAUUGAGUGAAGGGGGUUUGGGCCUUGUGAGAUCACUAGGAGCUUCUGGCACAGCUGCAGCUGAGCAGAGCCCAGAAGGGGAAAAAAAAUUACUUUUCUCUUCAUCAUAUAUGUUUUUCUUCAUACUGUGCCAUUGUAUCACCUCCCUAGCAUUGUGCUCUUCUUAUAAUUUUUCUUCUAUUUCUCAGCAAACUCUCAUCAAAUAUCUCAAACCACCACAAUCAAGAAAAUUGAAAUAAUAAACAAAAGUUAAGGCACGGCGGUUCUCUGCA